UACAGAGGGUGCGAGCGUUAAUCGGAAUUACUGGGCGUAAAGCGUGCGUAGACGGUUAUUUAAGUCGGGUGUGAAAGCCCCGGGCUCAACCUGGGAAUUGCAUUCGAGACUGAAUAGCUAGGGUACGGUAGAGGGAAGUGGAAUUUCCGGUGUAGCGGUGAAAUGCGUAGAUAUCGGAAGGAACAUCAGUGGCGAAAGCGACUUCCUGAACCAGUACCGACGUUCAGGCACGAAAGCGUGGGGAGCAAACGGG
rnacentral:rRNA from 1 species